UUCUGGAUAGCUCAAUCAGUAAAGCAUGAGACACUUAAUCUCAGGGCCAUGGGUUUGAGCUCCACACUGGGCAAA
rnacentral:tRNA from 1 species